GAUGAACGCUGGCGGCGUGCCUAAUACAUGCAAGUCGAGCGAACAGACGAGGAGCUUGCUCCUCUGACGUUAGCGGCGGACGGGUGUGUCACACGUGGAUACCCUCCCUAUAAGUCUGGUAAAACUUCGGGAAACCGGAGCUAAUACCGGAUAAUAUAUUGAACCGCAUGGUUCAAUAGUGAAAGACGGUUUUGCUGGCACUUAUAGAUGGAUCCCCGCCGCAUUGGCUGGUUGGUAAGGUAACGGGUUACCAAGGCAACUAGGCGUAGCCGACGUGAGAGGGUGAUCGCCCACACGGGAACUGAGACACGGUCCAUACUCCUACGGGAGGCAGCAGUAGGGAAUCUGCCGCAAUGGGCGAAAGCCUGGCGGAGCAACGCCGCGUGAGUGAUGAAGGUCUUCGGAUCGUAAAACUCUGUUAUGAGGGAAGAACAAAUGUGUAAGUAACUAUGCACGUCUUGACGGUACCUAAUCAGAAAGCCACGGCUAACUACGUG
rnacentral:rRNA from 1 species